rnacentral:rRNA from 1 species
UAGAGGCGAACCGAGUGGAAGUCCGUCCAAGAAAAUCUCCGCGGGAGCAGAGCGGUGACCGUACCAAAUCUGACACAGGAGGGCGAGGCGAAUAGCCUCAGGCGCUCGAGAGAACCAUACGUGAAGGAACUCGGCAAAUUAACCCCGUAAGUUCGCGGUAAGGGGUGCCCCCGCAAGGGGGCCACAGGAAAACGACAGCUGCGACUGUUUACUAAAAACACAGGUCUCUGCGAAGUCGUCAAAGACGACGUAUAGGGACUGACGCUUGCCCGCUGUUGGAACGUUAAGGUGACUGGUUAGCCGCAAGGCGAGGCUGGGAGCCGAAGCGCCAAUGAAGGGCGGCCGUAACGAUGACGGUCCUAAGGUAGCGAAAUUCCUUGUCGGGUAAGUUCCGACCCGCACGAAUAGCGUAACGACAGCUGUACUGUCUCCACGAUGGACUCGGCGAGAUUGUAGCUGUGGUGAAGAUGCCACAUACCCGCACCAAGACGGAAAGACCCCGUGAACCUUUACUGUAACCUAAUACUGGCUCUAGGUUCGCCAUGUGUAGCAUAGGUGGGAGACGUUAAAGUCGGGGGCGCCAGCCUCCGAAUAGUCAUCAGUGAAAUACCACUCUUGGCGUACUUGGAGUCUAACCUGCGACCGUUAUCCGGCGUGGGAACAGUGUUAGGCGGGCAGUUUGACUGGGGCGGUCUCCUCCUAAAAGGUAACGGAGAGUGCAAAGGUACCCUCAAUGCGGUUGGCAAUCGCAUGAAGAGCGUAAAGGUAUAAGGGUGCUUGGCUGCGAGACACAUAGGUCGAGCAGGUACGAAAGUAGGUCUUAGUGAUCCGGUGGUCCCGUGUGGAAGGGCCAUCGCUCAUCAGAUAAAAGGUACUCCGGGGAUAACAGGCUGAUCACGCCCAAGAGUCCAUAUCGACGGCGUGGUUUGGCACCUCGAUGUCGGCUCAUCGCAUCCUGGGGCUGAAGGCGGUCCCAAGGGUUGGUCUGUUCGCCCAUUAAAGCGGUACGUGAGCUGGGUUUAGACCGUCGUGAGACAGGUCGGUCCCUAUCUGGUGUGGGCGCAGGAUGAUUGCGGAGACUCAUUCCUAGUACGAGAGGAUUGGAAUGAACGGACCUCUGGUGUGCCAGUUGUCGCGCUAGCGGCAUCGCUGGAUAUCUAUGUCCGGGCUGGAUAAGCGCUGAAAGCAUCUAAGUGCGAAGCCAACUCCAAGACUGGUCAUCCCAUGAGACACCUGGUAGACCACCAGGUUGAUAGGCCGGAAGUGUAAGGACAGCAAUGUUCUCAGCUAACCGGUACUAACCAGUCGAUCGGCUUGAUC